rnacentral:rRNA from 1 species
UACGAAGGGGACUAGCGUUGUUCGGAAUUACUGGGCGUAAAGCGCGCGUAGGCGGAUCGCUAAGUCAGGGGUGAAAUCCCAGGGCUCAACCCUGGAACUGCCUUUGAUACUGACGAUCUGGAGAUCGGGAGAGGGUAGUGGAAUUCCCGGUGUAGCGGUGAAAUGCGUAGAGACCGGGAAGAACACCAGUGGCGAAGGCGGCUACCUGGACAGGUACUGACGCUGAAGCGCGAAAGCUAGGGGAGCAAACAGG